rnacentral:rRNA from 1 species
UGGGGAAUUUUGGACAAUGGGCGAAAGCCUGAUCCAGCAAUGCCGCGUGUGUGAAGAAGGCCUUCGGGUUGUAAAGCACUUUUGUCCGGAAAGAAAUCCUUGGCUCUAAUACAGUCGGGGGAGUGACGGUACCGGAAGAAUAAGCACCGGCUAACUACGUGCCAGCAGCCGCGGUAAUACGUAGGGUGCAAGCGUUAAUCGGAAUUACUGGGCGUAAAGCGUGCGCAGGCGGUUUGCUAAGACCGAUGUGAAAUCCCCGGGCUCAACCUGGGAACUGCAUUGGUGACUGGCAGGCUAGAGUAUGGCAGAGGGGGUGAGAAUUGCCACGUGUAGCAGUGAAAUGCGUAGAGAUGUGGAGGAAUACCGAUGGCGAAGGCAGCCCCUGGCCAAGUACUGACGCUCAUGCACGAAAGCGUGGGGAGCAAAC